UGCUGUGCACCUGGUGUUUACGAACCUGCAAAACACUUUCUGUCUGAUCUUUAGCACUAUGUUUUGUUGGCAAAUGUGAGACAUACAUGAAAAUGUCUACAUCCUCACAGCCAGAAUCAAGAAAAAACUGCCAAAAUAGAUGGAGUCAGACACCAGCACACAUGAAUCUAACUCCACAGCGGUGGCGAAUUGGAAUAAUUACAGGACAAGUCGGCGUCUUGUACAAAUGACUGCCGGUGUUUCCAGUGAGAAGUUCCAGAGAGAGCGAGGCUGAG